rnacentral:rRNA from 1 species
UACAGAGGUCUCAAGCGUUGUCCGGAAUCAUUGGGCGUAAAGGGUGUGUAGGUGGCGCGCUAAGUCGGGUGUGAAAUUUCGGAGCUUAACUCCGAAACUGCAUUCGAUACUGGCGUGCUUGAGGACUGGAGAGGAGACUGGAAUUCAUGGUGUAGCAGUGAAAUGCGUAGAGAUCAUGAGGAAGACCAGUGGCGAAGGCGGGGUCUCUGGACAGUUCCUGACACUGAGACACGAAGGCCAGGGGGAGCAAAACGGGG